GACGAACGCUGGCGGCGUGCCUAACACAUGCAAGUCGAGCGGGGUUGAAGCGAGGGGUAACUCGAGUUUCUACCUAGCGGCGGACGGGUGAGUAACGCGUGGGCAACCUGCCUCAAGGACUGGGAUAACAGCUCGAAAGGGCUGCUAAUACCGGAUAAGCCCAUGGCCUCGCAUGGGGCCAUGAGCAAAGGGGAAACCGCCUUGAGAUGGGCCCGCGUCCCAUCAGCUAGUUGGUGAGGUGAAGGCUCACCAAGGCGACGACGGGUAGCCGGCCUGAGAGGGUGACCGGCCACACUGGGACUGAGACACGGCCCAGACUCCUACGGGGGGCAGCAGUGGGGAAUCUUGCACAAUGGGCGAAAGCCUGAUGCAGCGACGCCGCGUGAGCGAAGAAGGCCUUCGGGUUGUAAAGCUCUGUCUGGAGGGACGAAGGAAGUGACGGUACCUCCGGAGGAAGCCACGGCUAACUACGUG
rnacentral:rRNA from 1 species